rnacentral:ncRNA from 1 species
UGAGUUACUAAGAAGAGGAAGAGUAGUUGAUUUAGACUAGCAGCGAGUUCCGUUAGGUGAAAGGGAAUUAGUCAUCAAUCAAUGAAAAUCACCUCUGAGUUAUGGGUCGAAUUUAAGUAACGCCCAUUGGCUGCAGCCAUUACCCUGCUAGCGUAUCGUGAAUAACCGUACGUGACUAAGUUAUUGUUAGUAAUAACAGUAAGAAUUUGGGUGGUACCGCGCCGUAGCGUCCCGGAA